GUGGUAUAAGAUUGGAUAGAAUUGAACAGCUGAGAGGAGAACUGCCAAGCUACCAGCAUGUAAAGACUGUCUGAAAAAUAGCUACCUAUAAAGGUGAUCUACUGGGAAAUGUGGCAUCAAGAGUCAUAAGACAGGGGUCACAGUUCAUGUGAAUUUGCAAUUUAAGUAUCUCAUGACUGAACAGAGAUGCAGAUGAGGCAAUUAUACUUUUGAAAUCAUAGUCGGAUAUGCAGAGUCACCAACAAACCAGUGAAGGAUACUCGCAGAUUCAGAGAAGUUACUCUUUCUGAACAUCAACAGCACUCUCAAAAUCUUCAAUGUAGUUUUUCUUAACUCCAAACCCAAUUGAAAAUUUGGUAAUAUCAGGCAUUUGUUCUACAACAGCUAUCUUGGCAAUACAAAUAACUUCUAAGUAUUUCACAUUUCUCUCAUUUAUGAGAAAACCAUACUGAUCAUUCUGAGCAAAGACAUCAGGGCUGAACU